UACGUAGGGGGCAAGCGUUGUCCGGAAUCAUUGGGCGUAAAGCGCACGUAGGCGGAUCCUUAAGUCGGGGGUGAAAUCCUGGAGCUCAACUCCAGAACUGCCUUCGAUACUGAGGAUCUCGAGUCCGGGAGAGGUGAGUGGAACUGCGAGUGUAGAGGUGAAAUUCGUAGAUAUUCGCAAGAACACCAGUGGCGAAGGCGGCUCACUGGCCCGGUACUGACGCUGAGGUGCGAAAGCGUGGGGAGCAAACAG
rnacentral:rRNA from 1 species